rnacentral:rRNA from 1 species
CAAUAGCGUAUAUUAAAGCUGUUGCGGUUAAAAAGCUCGUAGUUGGAUUUCUGUCAAGGACAACUGGUCCGCCCUUCGGGUGAGCACAUAGUUUGGUCUUGGCAUCUUGUUGGAAACUGUUGCUGCACUUGGUUGUGUGGCGCAGCGUCCAGCACUUUCACUUUGAGGAAAUUGGAGUGUUUCAAGCAGGCACAUGCCUUUGGACACAGUAGCAUGGAAUAAUUAGAUUGGGCUUUUGCUCCAACUUGUCGGUUUUUGGAGCUGAGGUGAGAAUUAAUGGGGAUUGUUGGGGGCAUCCGAAUUUAGCCGUCAGAGGUGAAAUUCUUGGAUCUGCUAAAGACGGACAACUGCGAAAGCGUUUGCCCAGGAUGUUUUCAUUGA